AAAAAGUCAAACCUUGGAUUUCCGUGUCCAACUUUAAUUGUCCGUCUUAUAUGAAAUUUUUUUAUAAUUCGUAUUUUCAUUGUUGUUAGAUAAUAAAACAUGAUUAAUAUUUUAUGCGUGACUUGUAUUUUUAAUUUUUUUCAUAAUUUUUUUAAAUAAGACGGACGGUCAAACAUUGGACACGGAAACCAGGGCU
rnacentral:pre_miRNA from 1 species